GGGCGCUACUCUGCCACGCCGCCUUAAUGUCUUCCGGUACAAAGCCUUCAUUGCCCCGCUUCGUUCAUCCAACAGUCCUUCCGGUUUGACCGACAUCGCAGAUAGCAGGUAGGAUUUAAUGUGUACAACCAUGAACUAAAAUCUACGUAUUAUCUCUGCCAUCCAUCGAUUUUAACCAAAGAAUUCGACACUACACCAAUCUUUGGACUUCACAUAUGGCUAUUCGCUACCCCAUGGCCGUUGGCCUUAAUAAAGGCCAUCCUGUCACCAAAA